GACGAACGCUGGCGGCGUGCUUAACACAUGCAAGUCGAACGGAAAGGCCCUGCUUUUGUGGGGUGCUCGAGUGGCGAACGGGUGAGUAACACGUGAGUAACCUGCCCUUGACUUUGGGAUAACUUCAGGAAACUGGGGCUAAUACCGGAUAGGAGCUCCUGCUGCAUGGUGGGGGUUGGAAAGUUUCGGCGGUUGGGGAUGGACUCGCGGUUUAUCAGCUUGUUGGUGGGGUAGUGGCUUACCAAGGCUUUGACGGGUAGCCGGCCUGAGAGGGUGACCGGACACAUUGGGACUGCGAUACGGCCCAGACUCCGACGGGAGGCAGUAGUGGGGAAUAUUGCACAAUGGACGGAAGCCUGAUGCAGCAACGCCGCGUGCGGGAUGACGUCUUUUGGGUUGUAAACCGCUUUCGCCUGUGACGAAGCGUGAGUGACUGUAAUGGGUAAAGAAGCACCGGCUAACUACGUG
rnacentral:rRNA from 1 species